CGUUGCUCGGAAUGACUGGGCGUAAAGGGCGCGUAGGCGGUUUGUACAGUCAGAUGUGAAAUUCCUGGGCUCAACCUGGGGGCUGCAUUUGAUACGUAUGGACUGGAGUGAGGAAGAGGGUCGUGGAAUUCCCAGUGUAGAGGUGAAAUUCGUAGAUAUUGGGAAGAACACCGGUGGCGAAGGCGGCCAUCUGGACAGAUACUGACGCUGAGACGCGAAAGCGUGGGGAGCAAACAGG
rnacentral:rRNA from 1 species